rnacentral:rRNA from 1 species
CCUACGGGAGGCAGCAGUGAGGAAUAUUGGUCAAUGGCCGAAAGGCGGAAGCAGCCAAGGAGCGUGAAGGAAGAAGGACCUAUGGUUUGUAAACUUCUUUUAUAGGGGAAUAAAGGUAUCCACGUGUGGAUAUUUGCAUGUACCCUAUGAAUAAGCAUCGGCUAACUCCGUGUCAGCAGCCGCGGUAAUACGGAGGAUGCGAGCGUUAUCCGGAUUUAUUGGGUUUAAAGGGUGCGUAGGUUGUUUGUUAAGUCAGCGGUGAAAGUUUGUGGCUCAACCAUGAAAUUGCCGUUGAAACUGGCAGACUUGAGUGUGUUUGAGGUAGGCGGAAUGCGUGGUGUAGCGGUGAAAUGCGUAGAUAUCACGCAGAACUCCGAUUGCGAAGGCAGCUUACU